GGUAUGGGAUGAGCUUGCGUCCGAUUAGCUAGUUGGCGGGGCAACGGCCCACCAAGGCGACGAUCGGUAGCCGGCCUGAGAGGGCGAUCGGCCACAUUGGGACUGAGAUACGGCCCAGACUCCUACGGGAGGCAGCAGUAGGGAAUAUUGCACAAUGGGGGAAACCCUGAUGCAGCAACGCCACGUGUGGGAAGAAGCAUUUCGGUGUGUAAACCACUGUCGUGAGGGAAUAAGGCAUUGUUUCGGCGAUGUUGAAUGUACCUCGAAAGGAAGCACCGGCAAACUUCGUGCCAGCAGCCGCGGUAAUACGAGGGGUGCAAGCGUUGUUCGGAAUCACUGGGCGUAAAGGGAGCGUAGGCGGAGAUGCAGGCGGUCUGUACAAUACCGGGGCCCAACCCCGGACCUGCAGACUGGACUGUGUCUCUUGGAUAGUUCAGGGGCAGGC
rnacentral:rRNA from 1 species